rnacentral:tRNA from 1 species
AGGGCCGUAGCGCAGAGGUCGUCGCGCCACCGCAGCUCGCUGGAGGACGCCGGUUCGAAUCCGGUCGGCUCUG